UCCGAUAUGGUGUAGUGGCUAACAUUAUCGCCUCUCAUCAAUCCACGAAGCGUAACUGAAAGCGCGAUAGCCCGGGGUUCGAUUCCUCGUGUCGGAA